rnacentral:rRNA from 1 species
GAUGAACGCUAGCUACAGGCUUAACACAUGCAAGUCGAGGGGCAGCGCAGUGUAGCAAUACAUGGGCGGCGACCGGCGCACGGGUGCGUAACGCGUAUCCAACCUUCCCGUUACUCAGGGAUAGCCUUCCGAAAGGGAGGUUAAUACCUGAUGGUGUUCAAAUUCCGCAUGUUAUUUGAACUAAAGAUUUAUCGGUAACGGAUGGGGAUGCGUGACAUUAGGUAGAUGGCGGGGUAACGGCCCACCAUGCCCACGAUGUCUAGGGGUUCUGAGAGGAAGGUCCCCCACACUGGAACUGAGACACGGUCCAGACUCCUACGGGAGGCAGCAGUGAGGAAUAUUGGUCAAUGGUCGGAAGAUUGAACCAGCCAAGUAGCGUGAAGGAUGAAGGUUCUAUGGAUUGUAAACUUCUUUUAUACGGGAAUAAAGCCACCUACGUGUAGGUGCUUGUAUGUACCGUAUGAAUAAGCAUCGGCUAACUCCGUGCCAGCCGCCGCCGUAAGAC